CCUUUGCUGGCGUAUGUGCCACAGUUGGUCAUCCCUUGACCCACGGCUGGGCUGCUGUCACCCCACAGCUGCCCUUGGCCCAUGGUUGGGCUGUCCUUGCCCCCACUGCUGGGUGUCCAUCAUCCCACAGUUAUCCUUGCCCUGUGGCUGGGCAUCCAUCGCCCCAUGGCUGCCAUCACCCCGUAGCCACCCUCAACCCAUGGCUGCCCUCGCCCCAGGGCUGGGACAUCCUUACUCCAUGGUUGGGUGCCCAUUACCCCAACCAUGAUUACCCCACAGCUGUCCUUGCCCCACAGCUGGGCCAUAUUCACCCCUUGGCUCCUCCUGUCCCAUGACUGGGACAUCUUUACCCCAUGGCUGGGUGUCCAUCACACCAUGGUUGGGUGUCCACUGACCAACGGCUGGGCCACCCUCACUCCAUAGCUGCCGUCACCCCGCAUCACCCCAUGGCUGCUCUCACCCUAUGACUGGGUCCUUUUUACUCCAUGAUUUAGUGUCCACCAUCCCACAGCUGUCCUUGCCCCAUGGCUGGGCCAUACUCAUCCCACAGUUGGGUGUCCAUAAACCCACGGUUAGGUGUCCAUAACCCCAUGACUGGGUGCCCAUAACCCCAUAGCAGGACCGCCGCCACCUCACUCUGCCCUCACCCCACAGCUUGGUGCCCAACACCCCACGCCAGGACCACCCUCACCCCACACCAAGACCACCCUCACCCCACAGCUGGCUGUCCAUCACCCCACAGUAGGCCCACCCCUUCCCCACAGCCACCCUCGCCCCCUCCCUCCCGUCCUCUCCCCCAGCCGGGGGUCCCGUCGGGGAGCUCCGCGUGGUCCCUGUGCCCACCCACCCCAUUUCCCCCUUCCCAUGGGACCGACCCCCCUCUCCCCACAGCCCAGGGGGGCGAGCAGCCCAUCCCCACGCGUACCAGGAAUACCCACCCCGCGGGUGGGAACACCGCGCUCCUCCCCGGCUUUUAAUCCCGCUGCUCCGGCACCGCAUCGCUGCAAAAAUAAGGGGCGAGAUCGGGGAUGGCAGUGGACGGAGGGCUUGCGGUGGACAUCAGCCCCUGAACAAACCCCCCUGCCCCAUCCUGGUUGGGACAACUGGGGAACGGUGGGAUCCUGGAGGAGCUCCCCGUGUCUGCCCAGGUGGAUCGCGGACGGAGUUUUUUGGAGCUGCCGGGGCAGCAGCCACGCGCUCCAUCCCGCUGCCGUCGCUGCAAGGAGAAAGCAACCCAGGGAAGAAGACAAAGUGCCACAGGUAAUUAACCACAGUGAUGGGGAAAGGGCGAGAGGAAGGAUUGAGCACGGGGUCGGAGAGAGAGGGAUGCUGCGAGACGUCUCAGCCAGAGCAGCAGUGGGAAGGCAACGGGGAAAUACCCAAUUUUCCUGGGGGAAAUACCCAAGGGGAUGAGAUAAGGGG
rnacentral:lncRNA from 1 species